CAUGGUCCCAAAAGUAGGGUAACGUUGUUGUAUGCUCCUCCUACAACAGUUGGAGGCCGUGCUUUAGCUUUACAUUAUGCAAAUGUGAUUAUUGUCAUAGAAAAGCUGCUUCAAUAUCCACAUCUGGUAGGCGACGAAGGGAGGGAUGAUCUAUAUCAAAUGUUACCGACAAGCUUAAGAAAGACUUUGAAGUCUAGUCUGAGAUCAUAUAUGAAUGAAGGGAGGGAUGAUCUAUAUCAGAUGUUACCGACAAGCUUAAGAAAGACUUUGAAGUCUAGUCUGAGAUCAUAUAUGAAAGGUUUAGCCAUAUAUGACGCGCCUCUUGCCCACGAUUGGA
rnacentral:lncRNA from 1 species